rnacentral:rRNA from 1 species
CCUACGGGAGGCAGCAGUGGGGAAUCUUGCGCAAUGGGCGAAAGCCUGACGCAGCCAUGCCGCGUGAAUGAUGAAGGUCUUAGGAUUGUAAAAUUCUUUCACCGGGGACGAUAAUGACGGUACCCGGAGAAGAAGCCCCGGCUAACUUCGUGCCAGCAGCCGCGGUAAUACGAAGGGGGCUAGCGUUGCUCGGAAUUACUGGGCGUAAAGGGAGCGUAGGCGGAUAGUUUAGUCAGAGGUGAAAGCCCAGGGCUCAACCUUGGAAUUGCCUUUGAUACUGGCUAUCUUGAGUAUGGGAGAGGUUAGCGGAACUCCGAGUGUAGAGGUGAAAUUCGUAGAUAUUCGGAAGAACACCAGUGGCGAAGGCGGCUAACUGGCCCAUUACUGACGCUGAGGCUCGAAAGCGUGGGGAGCAAACAGGAUUAGAUACCCUGGUAGUCCACGCCGUAAACGAUGAGUGCUAGUUGUCGGCAUGNAUGCAUGUCGGUGACGCAGCUACGACAUUAAGACACUCCGCCGUCGGGGAGGUACGGUCGGCGAAGAAUUAAACUAACAACGAAGUAGUAGACGCGNGAGACGCGACGACGACGACGACGGAGGGAGGAG